UACGAAGGUCCCAAGCGUUGUUCGGAAUCACUGGGCGUAAAGGGUGCGUAGGCGGUUUGGUAAGCCAGAUGUGAAAUCCCGGGGCUCAACCCCGGAACUGCAUCCGAUACUGCCAGACUUGAGGACUGGAGAGGUGACUGGAAUUCUCGGUGUAGCAGUGAAAUGCGUAGAGAUCGAGAGGAACACUCGUGGCGUAAGCGAGUCACUGGACAGUAUCUGACGCUGAGGCACGAAGGCCAGGGUAGCGAAAGGG
rnacentral:rRNA from 1 species